UACGUAGGUGGCAAGCGUUGUCCGGAUUUACUGGGCGUAAAGAGCGCGCAGGCGGUCGGAUAAGUCGAAUGUGAAAGCCCCCGGCUCAACUGGGGAGGGUCAUUCGAUACUGUUCGACUCGAAGGCAGGAGAGGGAAGUGGAAUUCCCGGUGUAGUGGUGAGAUGCGUAGAUAUCCGGAGGAACACCGGUGGCGAAGGCGGCAUCCUGGACCGGCAUUGACGCUGAGGCGCGAAAGCCAGGGGAGCAAACGGG
rnacentral:rRNA from 1 species